GGGCCCGCACAAGCGGUGGAGCAUGUGGUUUAAUUCGAUGCAACGCGAAGAACCUUACCUACUCUUGACAUCCAGAGAAGCCAGCGGAGACGCAGGUGUGCCUUCGGGAACUCUGAGACAGGUGCUGCAUGGCUGUCGUCAGCUCGUGUUGUGAAAUGUUGGGUUAAGUCCCGCAACGAGCGCAACCCUUAUCCUUGUUUGCCAGCGAGUAAUGUCGGGAACUCCAGGGAGACUGCCGGUGAUAAACCGGAGGAAGGUGGGGACGACGUCAAGUCAUCAUGGCCCUUACGAGUAGGGCUACACACGUGCUACAAUGGCGCAUACAGAGGGCGGCGAACUUGCGAGAGUAAGCGAAUCCCAAAAAGUGCGUCGUAGUCCGGAUUGGAGUCUGCAACUCGACUCCAUGAAGUCGGAAUCGCUAGUAAUCG
rnacentral:rRNA from 1 species